AGAAUCAACGCUGGCGGCGUGCCUAACACAUGCAAGUCGCACGAGAAAGGGUAGCAAUACCUGAGUACAGUGGCGCACGGGUGAGUAACACGUGAAUAAUCUACCUCCGAGUGGGGAAUAACUGAGAGAAAUCUUAGCUAAUACCGCAUAACACUUACGAGUCAAAGCAGCAAUGCGCUUGGAGAGGAGUUCGCGGCAGAUUAGUAGUGCGGGGUAAUGGCCCACCAAGACGAUGAUCUGUA
rnacentral:rRNA from 1 species